rnacentral:rRNA from 1 species
UACGUAGGGCGCAAGCGUUGCUCGGAAUCAUUGGGCGUAAAGAGCGUGUAGGCGGUUGGAUACGUCAGAUGUGAAAGCCCUGGGCUCAACCCAGGAAGUGCAUUUGAAACUGUCCUACUUGAGUACGGGAGAGGAAAGUGGAAUUCCUGGUGUAGAGGUGAAAUUCGUAGAUAUCAGGAGGAACACCGGUGACGAAGGCGACUUUCUGGCCCGAUACUGACGCUGAGACGCGAGAGCGUGGGGAGCAACCAGGAUUAGAUACCCUGGUAGUCCACGCCGUAAACGAUGUUCACUAGGUGUUGGGGGUAUUGACCCCCUCAGUGCCGCAGCUAACGCAUUAGGUGAACCGCCUGGGGAGUACGGUCGCAAGACUAAA